UACGUAGGGUGCAAGCGUUGUCCGGAAUUAUUGGGCGUAAAGAGCGUGUAGGCGGCCCGAUUAGUCCGCUGUGAAAGUCCAGGGCUCAACCCCUGGAAUGCCGGUGGAUACUGUCGGGCUAGAGUCCGGAAGGGGCGAGUGGAAUUCCUGGUGUAGCGGUGAAAUGCGCAGAUAUCAGGAGGAACACCAAUGGCGAAGGCAGCUCGCUGGGACGGUACUGACGCUGAGACGCGAAAGCGUGGGGAGCAAACAGG
rnacentral:rRNA from 1 species